CGAGAGAAUCCUUGUGAACGUGGGGCACCCCUGGCCCCCGGGCCCCGUGGAAAGCAUCGUCCCAUUGGUGUGGAGGGACGGAAAAGGAGCAGAGGGCACGGGAUGGUCAGAUGUCCCUGGGCCGGGAGCGGAGUCCUGGGGCCAGAGAGGGAGAAGGAGCCUUGCCAUGGUUGGUUAUGGCUUGUCCCCAAAGGAAAAAGCGGGAAGUUCUUGGCCGGAAGUGUGGUGUGGAGGUGCUGAGCCUUUCCCAGGUGAGGCGUGUGGAAGGCAAAGAGCCCACCUUGCUCCACCCCUGCUGCCUCGUGGAGGGGUUGGGCAGGUGCAGGCGGUUGUCAGAGAGCGAGCCCCACGCGCCUGGCCCUCCUGUGCUGGCCUCCACUCUCCUUUGCUCAGCCAUUUUGGGAUGUAGCCAGGGGACUCUGGUGCCAUCACCUCUUGGACCCUCCAGCUGCCAGAAUUGCUGCUCUGUGGGAGAAUGAGCACAUGUUACAUCUUCACAGGCAGGCCCUCUUGUUCCUAGGCCUGUACCCACUGAACUCAUCUGAAAGCUGUAAGAUGACCUGGAGCCUUACUCUACAGCAACCUGCUCAGAGGCACGUCCAUCAUUGGGCCACACAAAUAAUUUGUUUUACUACCAUCGCCUAAGUGUUCUAAGCUUUGGAAGCUGUAUUCUUGGAGGCAAAACAAACAAACAAACAAAUAAAAAAAAUCAGCUAACUAUAAACUAAAGUCACCAGUGUAAGGAUGAAUCAGUUCCUCC
rnacentral:lncRNA from 1 species